rnacentral:rRNA from 1 species
UACGAAGGGGGCUAGCGUUGCUCGGAAUCACUGGGCGUAAAGGGCGCGUAGGCGGCCAUUCAAGUCGGGGGUGAAAGCCUGUGGCUCAACCACAGAAUUGCCUUCGAUACUGUUUGGCUUGAGACCGGAAGAGGUAAGUGGAACUGCGAGUGUAGAGGUGAAAUUCGUAGAUAUUCGCAAGAACACCAGUGGCGAAGGCGGCUUACUGGUCCGGUUCUGACGCUGAGGCGCGAAAGCGUGGGGAGCAAACAG